AGCGAACGUUAGCGGCGCGCCUAACACAUGCAAGUCGCACGAGAAACGGAGCAAUCCGCGGUACAGUGGCGCACGGGUGAGUAACACGUGGAUGACCUUCCUGGAGUGGUGGAUAACCUGCCGAAAGGCGGGCUAAUACAGCAUGGGACCACGACGCUUUGGCGAUGUGGUGAAAGCGGGCCUCUAUAUAUAAGCUCGCGCUCCGGGACGGGUCCGCGUCCCAUCAGCUAGUUGGUGAGGUAACGGCUCACCAAGGCUUCGACGGGUAGCUGGUCUGAGAGGAUGGCCAGCCACACUGGAACUGAGACACGGUCCAGACUCCUACGGGAGGCAGCAGUGGGGAAUCUUGCGCAAUGGGCGAAAGCCUGACGCAGCGACGCCGCGUGGGCGAAGAAGGCCUGG
rnacentral:rRNA from 1 species